CAGCAGCCGCGGGAAUACGUAGGUGGCAAGCGUUGUCCGGAAUUAUUGGGCGUAAAGGGCUCGCAGGCGGUUUCUUAAGUCUGAUGUGAAAGCCCCCGGCUCAACCGGGGAGGGUCAUUGGAAACUGGGAAACUUGAGUGCAGAAGAGGAGAGUGGAAUUCCACGUGUAGCGGUGAAAUGCGUAGAGAUGUGGAGGAACACCAGUGGCGAAGGCGACUCUCUGGUCUGUAACUGACGCUGAGGAGCGAAAGCGUGGGGAGCGAACAGGAUUAGAUACCGAGUAGUCCCUGUCUCUUAUACA
rnacentral:rRNA from 1 species